UCACCUUCCUUCAAUCUCUCUUUCUCAGCCCUCCUCAUGGCCUUCUUGUCUUUUGAUCCCUUCUUUUGCUCAGGUGGAUUCUUCAAGAUGAAUGUCGUGAGCUUAUCCCUCAUAUCCACAUCAGACACGAAACCACACGCAGCACACUUCAGUUGAAUCAUCUGAGUUUUUGUAAUAAGUAUCUCAGUCUCUGGGUUUCCACAGCCAUAACACUGGACAUACUUCUUAAUGAAGUUCUCAAGAAGGCCAGCAAGUUUAGGGGUGUCAUGAGCCCCAUUAACAAGAGAAACUCCAGUUUUCU
rnacentral:lncRNA from 1 species